UCUCAUACGUUCUAACUGCUGGUAUC
rnacentral:piRNA from 1 species